rnacentral:rRNA from 1 species
GGUUAAGCGACUAAGCGUACACGGUGGAUGCCCUGGCAGUCAGAGGCGAUGAAGGACGUGCUAAUCUGCGAAAAGCGCCGGCGAGGUGAUAUGAACCCUUGACCCGGCGAUGUCCGAAUGGGGAAACCCAGUGCAAUCCGUUGCACUAUCGUUAGCUGAAUACAUAGGUUAACGAGGCGAACCGGGGGAACUGAAACAUCUAAGUACCCCGAGGAAAAGAAAUCAACCGAGAUUCCCCCAGUAGCGGCGAGCGAACGGGGAGCAGCCCGGAGUCUGAAUCAGCUUGUGUGUUAGUGGAACGGUCUGGAAAGUCCGACGGUACAGGGUGAUAGUCCCGUACACGAAAGCACACUUGCUGUGAACUCGAAGAGUAGGGCGGGACACGUGGUAUCCUGUCUGAAUAUGGGGGGACCAUCCUCCAAGGCUAAAUACUCCUGACUGACCGAUAGUGAACCAGUACCGUGAGGGAAAGGCGAAAAGAACCCCGGCGAGGGGAGUGAAAAAGAACCUGAAACCGUGUACGUACAAGCAGUGGGAGCCUCUUUAUGGGGUGACUGCGUACCUUUUGUAUAAUGGGUCAGCGACUUAUAUUCUGUAGCAAGGUUAACCGUAUAGGGGAGCCGAAGGGAAACCGAGUCUUAACUGGGCGUUAAGUUGCAGGGUAUAGACCCGAAACCCGGUGAUCUAGCCAUGGGCAGGUUGAAGGUUGGGUAACACUAACUGGAGGACCGAACCGACUAAUGUUGAAAAAUUAGCGGAUGACCUGUGGCUGGGGGUGAAAGGCCAAUCAAACCGGGAGAUAGCUGGUUCUCCCCGAAAGCUAUUUAGGUAGCGCCUCGUGAACUCAUCUUCGGGGGUAGAGCACUGUUUCGGCUAGGGGGCCAUCCCGGCUUACCAACCCGAUGCAAACUACGAACGAAUACCGAAGAAUGUUAUCACGGGAGACACACGGCGGGUGCUAACGUCCGUCGUGAAGAGGGAAACAACCCAGACCGCCAGCUAAGGUCCCAAAGUCAUGGUUAAGUGGGAAACGAUGUGGGAAGGCACAGACAGCCAGGAUGUUGGCUUAGAAGCAGCCAUCAUUUAAAGAAAGCGUAAUAGCUCACUGGUCGAGUCGGCCUGCGCGGAAGAUGUAACGGGGCUAAACCAUGCACCGAAGCUGCGGCAGCGACACUAUGUGUUGUUGGGUAGGGGAGCGUUCUGUAAGCCGUUGAAGGUGUGCUGUGAGGCAUGCUGGAGGUAUCAGAAGUGCGAAUGCUGACAUAAGUAACGAUAAAGCGGGUGAAAAGCCCGCUCGCCGGAAGACCAAGGGUUCCUGUCCAACGUUAAUCGGGGCAGGGUGAGUCGACCCCUAAGGCGAGGCCGAAAGGCGUAGUCGAUGGGAAACAGGUUAAUAUUCCUGUACUUGGUGUUACUGCGAAGGGGGGACGGAGAAGGCUAUGUCAGCCGGGCGACGGUUGUCCCGGUUUAAGCAUGUAGGCGGAGGUUCCAGGUAAAUCCGGUACCUUAUUAACGCUGAGGUGUGAUGACGAGGCACUACGGUGCUGAAGUGAUAAAUGCCCUGCUUCCAGGAAAAGCCUCUAAGCAUCAGGUAACACGAAAUCGUACCCCAAACCGACACAGGUGGUCAGGUAGAGAAUACCAAGGCGCUUGAGAGAACUCGGGUGAAGGAACUAGGCAAAAUGGUGCCGUAACUUCGGGAGAAGGCACGCUGAUGUGUAGGUGAAGCCCCUGCGGGUGGAGCUGAAAUCAGUCGAAGAUACCAGCUGGCUGCAACUGUUUAUUAAAAACACAGCACUGUGCAAACACGAAAGUGGACGUAUACGGUGUGACGCCUGCCCGGUGCCGGAAGGUUAAUUGAUGGGGUUAGCGGCAACGCGAAGCUCUUGAUCGAAGCCCCGGUAAACGGCGGCCGUAACUAUAACGGUCCUAAGGUAGCGAAAUUCCUUGUCGGGUAAGUUCCGACCUGCACGAAUGGCGUAAUGAUGGCCAGGCUGUCUCCACCCGAGACUCAGUGAAAUUGAACUCGCUGUGAAGAUGCAGUGUACCCGCGGCAAGACGGAAAGACCCCGUGAACCUUUACUAUAGCUUGACACUGAACACUGGUCCUUGAUGUGUAGGAUAGGUGGGAGGCUUUGAAGCGUGGACGCCAGUCUGCGUGGAGCCAACCUUGAAAUACCACCCUUUAAUGGCUGGUGUUCUAACGUAGACCCGUAAUCCGGGUUGCGGACAGUGUCUGGUGGGUAGUUUGACUGGGGCGGUCUCCUCCCAAAGAGUAACGGAGGAGCACGAAGGUUGGCUAAUCCUGGUCGGACAUCAGGAGGUUAGUGCAAUGGCAUAAGCCAGCUUGACUGCGAGCGUGACGGCGCGAGCAGGUGCGAAAGCAGGUCAUAGUGAUCCGGUGGUUCUGAAUGGAAAGGGCCAUCGCUCAACGGAUAAAAGGUACUCCGGGGAUAACAGGCUGAUACCGCCCAAGAGUUCAUAUCGACGGCGGUGUUUGGCACCUCGAUGUCGGCUCAUCACAUCCUGGGGCUGAAGUAGGUCCCAAGGGUAUGGCUGUUCGCCAUUUAAAGUGGUACGCGAGCUGGGUUUAGAACGUCGUGAGACAGUUCGGUCCCUAUCUGCCGUGGGCGCUGGAGAAUUGAGGGGGGCUGCUCCUAGUACGAGAGGACCGGAGUGGACGCAUCACUGGUGUUCGGGUUGUCAUGCCAAUGGCACUGCCCGGUAGCUAAAUGCGGAAGAGAUAAGUGCUGAAAGCAUCUAAGCACGAAACUUGCCCCGAGAUGAGUUCUCCCUGAGACUUUAAGUCUCCUGAAGGAACGUUGAAGACGACGACGUUGAUAGGUCGGGUGUGUAAGCGCAGCGAUGCGUUGAGCUAACCGAUACUAAUGAACCGUGAGGCUUAACCUU